rnacentral:rRNA from 1 species
UACAGAGGGGGCAAGCGUUGUUCGGAAUUACUGGGCGUAAAGAGCGCGCAGGCGGCCGAGUAAGUCGAAUGUGAAAGCCCCCGGCUCAACUGGGGAAGGUCAUUCGAUACUGUUCGGCUUGAAGAUAGGAGAGGGAAGCGGAAUUUCAGGUGUAGUGGUGAAAUGCGUAGAUAUCUGAAGGAACACCAGUGGCGAAGGCGGCUUUCUGGCCUAUUCUUGACGCUGAGGCGCGAAAGCUAGGGGAGCGAACGGG